CCUGAAGCUACAUGAACCACCAUAAGAAAGAAGAGCAAAACAGACAAGGGACUGAAGCCAGCUUGCACUCCACAGCUGCACAAAGAAGUUGGAAAGACUGUCUCUGAACUCCAUUAACUAAACUGUUCCAAACUCAACUGUCCUGCUCUGAACUAAGUUCAACUGCACUCAACUGAACUGUUCCAACCAGAACUGAGCUGAACUGACUGACUGAACUCAACUGACUUUCUCUCCCUCACUGCUAUACAGGGGACUCAGAAACAGAAUGAUCGGUGUUGGUAGAGAAGUAUCCACAUUCUUGAAGCAACAUCUAGCCUCCAUCUUGACUGUCAUACAACUUAUUCAAUACUCUGCUGUGCAAGUGACUCACACUCUCCAGAACUCUCCAAGACUCCAGAACUCCCUGCCUGAUCCUUCAAAUCCAUGCUAUUCCAGUCAGCUAUUCUCUGAUGAUCUCUGGGUUAUUAUCCUGUCUUUUUUUCCAGACAAGUUGAACAACCAU